ensembl:lncRNA
AUGACAGGUAUAGGGACAGGGGGCCGGGAGCACGAGGGCAUGGAGGGCUCAGCGUCGGGAACCACCACACUUCACCAGCCCUGGAUCCCAAAGUGGGGGUGGCGCGGACCCACUAACCAUCACCCCUCCCCACUGCGCACGCACAUCGCCCUUGAGAUAAUGACGCCAGGAAUCACUGCCUUCUCAACUGGGAUGGGCCCAGCACCUGCACUUCUGGUUUCUCCUGGGGCUGGGGUACGGGGGACCUACGUUCUGAGGCUUCCGUCCCUUCCUCGACACCACCACCAAAGACUUGGGUCUGGAAAUCUCCCCACGGCCUGGACUCAGGACAGGGCAUGGAGGCCCUGGGCCGGGAGGACGCACAAGGUUACCCUGCCCGGGGAUGCUGCGGGGCCUGGGGGGGCAGCAAGAGACGGUGGGGUGGGGGGCAUGAAGAUGGGGUCAAGGAUGACUCCCUGUUGCCCAGAGCGCGGCUCCGCCUGGGUACGGGCGGGCACAGUCCUGGACUGCCUUCACGGAAGCUGGCACUUUCCACAAGCAGGAAAGGGAGUGUGCGGACCGUCCGUCACACGCACGAUGCCCACCACAGUACGCGGCUCCGCGCCAGAGCAGGUCCCCAGGAGAAGCUUUCACCAACACUCCCCGCGUGUCCCCCCAACAUCAUUUACUGACCCGGUGAGGAGGCACUCGGAGGUGAAACUUCAGGCUCAGGUUAAAUCUAACCCUGGAAGCUGGGGGAAGAGACACCCAGAGCCCAGCGUCUCUGCCACGGGGAGUGAACAGGAGGCGCAGGCCUGCCUGUGGGGAGGAGCACUGUGUCUGUCAGCAGGAACAGGCCCAGAGGCGUGCCCGGCCUCUGCGGCGCUGCCGGACUCCUCCUGGAAGGAGAGCGGGGCCUCUCCCGGAGGUGGACAUCCUCCCGGGAGCGCGGCCCCUGUGGGCACCAGGAGGCCCGGGGAGCAUCCACAGACCUCCCAGUGGCAGUUCUACCUGGUACCUGGGCCCACACCUGGCAGAGCAUGUGGACCGGGGCACACCCCUGACCUGGUUCCACUUCCUAGGUCGGGGAGGGCAUGCAGGGGGUAG